UGCCAGCCGCCGCGGUAAGACGAAGGUGGCGAGCGUUGUUCGGAAUCACUGGGCAUAAAGCGCGCGUAGGCGGUCUGUUAAGUCCGAUGUGAAAGCCCCCGGCCCAACCGGGGAAUUGCGUCGGAUACUGUCAGACUUGAGGUCCGGAGAGGUGUACGGAAUUCCUGGUGGAGCGGUGAAAUGCGUUGAUAUCAGGAGGAACACCGGAGGCGAAGGCGGUACACUGGCCGGAUACUGACGCUCAGACUCGAAAGCGUGGGGAGCAAACAGGAUUAGAUA
rnacentral:rRNA from 1 species